rnacentral:lncRNA from 1 species
GGAGAGAGGUUGGAAGAAGAGUUGAAAAUGUUGUGUCAACUCACAUAAAAAUACAUCCAAAUUACAUGUUCGGCUGGACCUGAAGCACCAGAAUUAGAAGCUAUUCUUUGUUGUGUGAACCACGGAGUUGAGAUGGUCUUGAACAGUCGUCUAGGAUCUCUUAUUUUAGUAAGGCAUUUUAAAUGGAAGAUCACCUGGCCACACUGGGCACCUCCUCUUGGCCAAACACUUUGCAUCCAGUUUUGUUCAAGCCAUCUGUCCAAUUUCAAAUCACCGCUCUCCCAGCUCUACCUCUCAGAAUUAUUUAAAUCCCAAAGGUGCCACCUCCCAGGAAUCUUUCUCCUUCUCUAUCCAAGUCCCCGGAAAGCAUUGCCUUGACAGCAACUCUGAGGUCCUCGGAAUUUCACACCCAGCCUGGCAGAGGAUAGGUCAGUCCAUAAAGGCUUUCUGUCAUUGUGACAAUAUUCACAUCUUAACCUUGUACUGUACUGAUGUGUGCUCCUCUUCAUUUCUACCCUCAAGAAGCCCACAGUCUUGGGAGAAAUAUUUCCACUCACUUUCUUAUGCCCACCACUCUCAAUCCAU